AUUGAACGCUGGCGGCAGGCCUAACACAUGCAAGUCGAACGAGUGGCGGACGGGUGAGUAAUGUCUGUGAAACUGCCUGAUGGAGGGGGAUAACUACUGGAAACGGUAGCUAAUACCGCAUACCAUCGGAUGUGCACAUAUUGGAUUAGCUAGUAGGUGGGGUAAAGGCUCACCUAGGCGACGAGCCCUAGCUGGUCUGCGAGGAUGACCAGCAACACUGGACCGGUGCCACGCUCCAGCCUCCUACGGGAGGCAGCAGUGGGGAUUAUUGAACAAUGGGCGAAAGCCUGAUGCAGCCAUGCCGCGUGUGUGAAGAAGGCCUUCGGGUUGUAAAGCACUUUCAGCGAGGAGGCGUUACUCGCAGAAGAAGCACCGGCUAACUCCGUGCCAGCCGCCGCGGUAAUAC
rnacentral:rRNA from 1 species